GACGAACGCUGGCGGCGUGCCUAACACAUGCAAGUCGAACGGAGUAAAGACUUCGGUUUUUACUUAGUGGCGAACGGGUGAGUAACGCGUGAGAAACCUGCCUUUCAGUGGGGGACAACAGUUGGAAACGACUGCUAAUACCGCAUAAUGUUAUUUGGGGGCAUGUCUGAUUAGCUAGUUGGUGAGGUAACGGCUCACCAAGGCGACGAUCAGUAGCCGGUCUGAGAGGAUGAACGGCCACAUUGGGACUGAGAUACGGCCCAGACUCCUACGGGAGGCAGCAGUGGGGAAUAUUGGGCAAUGGGGGAAACCCUGACCCAGCAAUGCCGCGUGAAGGAAGAAGGCCUCGGUUGUAACGUCUUUACCGUAGGACGAACACAAUGACGGUAC
rnacentral:rRNA from 1 species